rnacentral:rRNA from 1 species
GACGAACGCUGGCGGCGUGCCUAAUACAUGCAAGUCGAACGCAGUGGGGACGGGUGAGUAACACGUGGGUAACCUCCCAUCAGAGGGGAUAACACUUGGCAACAGGUGCUAAACCGAUACUGAUGGAUGGACCCGCGGUGGAUUAGCUAGUUGGUGAGGUAACGGCGCACCAAGGCCACGAUGCAUCGCCGGCCUGAGAGGGUGAUCGGCCACACUGGAACUGAGACACGGCCCAGACUCCUACGGGAGGCAGCAGUGGGGAAUCUUGGGCAAUGGGCGAAAGCCUGACCGAGCAAUGCCGCGUGAGUGAAGAAGGUCUUCGGAUCGUAAAGCUCUUUUGUUAGAGAAGCGUUAUCUAAACAGAAAGCCACGGCUAACUACGUGCCAGCAGCCGCGGUAAUUC